GAACCAGGGGGUCGGGUUGUUCUGCAUCGCGGAGUGACCUAGGGGUACAGGGAGUACCUCCUUCAUAUAGGACCGGGUUCUGUGAAGC
rfam:Pseudomonas sp. BRH_c35 BRHa_1000763, whole genome shotgun sequence.